rnacentral:rRNA from 1 species
UUGAGGGGGGGGGCUGCUCCUAGUACGAGAGGACCGGAGUGGACGCAUCACUGGUGUUCGGGUUGUCAUGCCAAUGGCACUGCCCGGUAGCUAAAUGCGGAAGAGAUAAGUGCUGAAAGCAUCUAAGCACGAAACUUGCCCCGAGAUGAGUUCUCCCUGAGACUUUAAGUCUCCUGAAGGAACGUUGAAGACGACGACGUUGAUAGGUCGGGUGUGUAAGCGCAGCGAUGCGUUGAGCUAACCGAUACUAAUGAACCGUGAGGCUUAACCUU